ACUGUUUUGGGGUUUCCUCUAAAGAGUGUUGCGUUUGUAACCACUAAGAUGAAGAGGAGGUGUUUGUGGAGCAAGCGCUGCAAGAAGGUGAUGCUGCAGCUUAGUAUGUCUAGGAUCUUGAUUAGUAGUAUUAUUUUGAUGAUAAUUCACAGUGGUCCUUUAUGUUUAAGUGACCAACUCUGAUUUUAUUUUGGAUGACUGUAACCAAUAUAGUCUGUUAUAUGUCUCUAACUCUUUUCCAAUAUUAUAAUUGAAUGACGU
rnacentral:sRNA from 1 species